rnacentral:lncRNA from 1 species
CUGCUCCACUCUCUGCAACAGAUUUCAAGCAGCUCCACCACUCUCUGGCAAGUCAUGACAACGGACACCACUUCACUCUCUGCAGCAAGCUCCAUAUGGCCCUAGGCGACCUCUGACGCCACUACUCUUCGUAACAAACUCCGCACGUCUCUGAACGGCCCACUACCAGGCGGUUACAAAUGUCGCUAUCAAUCUGUUACGCCCUCCACCUAUAAAAAGGGGACCCC